GCACCUAUCUUCCUAGUGUCUAAGUGUCAAGAUGGAAGAAGUGUGGGUUGUCUACUUGUGCCUGUUCUUGCUUGUCUUGGUGCUCAUUUUAAUGAAGCGUGACCCAGAUUUGGAGGCUGCAAAGAAAGUUAAGGAAACACCAGACACCCCAGCACCAACCACCUAUUAUUCCAGUGAUGCUGGCAAACAUCUGGAAUGCACUGAAGAAGAGAUGGAGAAAUCCCUGGAGAGGCUAACCAGAAUCUUGUAUGGGGUAGAUGCUAGAAAAAGGGAAACCCACCAUGAGCAGAAAACAGCAAAGGCAGAAGCCUAUCACCAUUACAAAGCACCUGACGCAGAGUCUGAAACUAAAGAGCUAAUGGGAACGGGGCCAGGACAUUCUCGGCAUCUAUCUAGCCAGCACAGGGUUCAGCUCCGGUUCCCAGUGUGUGCAGUGGCAGCUUGCAGAAGUAGUGACAUCACAGCCUUCCUGAAAAAGCCCUGGAGUAAAAUGAAGAAGAGGAGGCCCUUCCUGAGCAUGGCAGAGAGGGGGAUGCUGCACAUUUGACAUUGUAUUUCUUUUCUUUCUUUCUUUUUUUUUUUUAAGGCAACAGCCCAAUCUCCUGGGGAGGCUAGGUCAGACACAUAUGCUGUUUCUUGAGAAUAAACUUCCCAAUACGUUUGUACA
rnacentral:lncRNA from 1 species